rnacentral:rRNA from 1 species
UCGUGUCAUAGUUCACUUGCAAACCGGCGAGUUGAAGCGGCAAAAGCUCAAAUUUGAAAUCUGGCCCCGUCAGGAGCCCGAGUUGUAAUUUGGAGAGGACACUUCGGGUGUGGCCGCGGCGUAAGUCCCUUGGAACAGGGCGUCAUAGAGGGUGAGAAUCCCGUCUUGCGCCGCCGGACCACGCCCAUGCGAAGUUCCUUCGACGAGUCGAGUUGUUUGGGAAUGCAGCUCUAAGUGGGUGGUAAAUUUCAUCUAAAGCUAAAUAUUGGCCAGAGACCGAUAGCGAACAAGUAGAGUGAUCGAAAGGUUAAAAGCACCUUGAAAAGGGAGUUAAAUAGCACGUGAAAUUGUUGAAAGGGAAGCGCUUGCAAGAGGGGGUCGGUCGCGGGGGCUCAGCGGGCAUGCUUGCCCGUGUACUCCCCCGCGUUCGGGCCAGCAUCGGUUCCGGCGGUUGGUCAAAGGCCCCUGGAAUGUGUCGUCCUCCGGGACGUCUUAUAGCCAGGGGCGCAAUGCUGCCAGCCGGGACCGAGGAACGCGCUUCGGCACGGAUGCUGGCAUAAUGGUUGUAAGCGGCCCGUCUUGAAACCACGGACCCG